rnacentral:lncRNA from 1 species
AUGGUCGAUGAGAACUCAUUAGUUUUCGUUUGAAAACUCUACUGCAAAAAAUCCGUUUUGUAUAUAUUUCUUUUAGUAUAAACAAGUAUAAUAAAACAUAUUUGAAAUCUAAAUUUAGAUUUUUUAAAAAUACUUUCACUGUUAAUUUCAGAUAAAACUAUAAAGCUCAGUGAGCUGAACUCGCAGCACAGUUUGUUUCUCAUUUGCGCUAUUUUAUUUCACUUUCGCCAUUAAUGCGCAUGGGAAAGUUACGAAUACCUAUCUUUCAUUUUCAUUUCUCUUCUCUUUUUUCUUUUUAGUUUAAUUGAAAAAAAAACUUAUUUUCAAUCACUUUAUUACUUCUCGAUUGAUCUAAAUUUAAGUAUUUAAUUUCUUGAUUAGAUUUGUAUAGAUUGAUUUAGUUUGCUGGACGAAUUUAUAUUUAGUUUUUGACAAAUGAUUUAAAGACGAAAAUACAUUGAUUAGCUGAUUCCAAGAACCCUAAACUGCUAAUUUUUUGUGAUAACAUCCAUUCCCCUUUCUUACAGAUUUGCCGUCCUGUGCAUAAGAAACCUUUAUUCACAGUGAAAGUAAAUUUUAUUGCCUCGUAAGAUUCCUUACGAUAUUUUAUACUGAGGGCAGUGAAUAUCAAAAUCAGCGGUGUGCCGGACUAAUUACCUCUAAUUUUCUAGUUGCGUCUCUUCACGUUUUGAGUUCAAAUCCGACCCGAGAUCGACUUGACUUUUCUUAUCGGUGGAGAAGGGUCGUUGAUAAUACCUGUCAGGUAAUUACCGAAUUCGAUUUAAUCUAUUUCAUUCCAUUGUAUUAGUGUUAGAAACAUUAUUUUACUUUAUCUGUCGCCCGGUUCCACAUCACCAACUGACACUUAGAGUGCUGUAGCAAACAUUCGGGUCAGGUCUCCAAUCUGCGAAUACCUCCCUCCCGUCUGACUCAGAUGCUCCGCAAAGGGUCAUAGGUACUGCCUUCCCUCCCCUGAUUAUAAGAUAAUAAAUUUUUUUGAAAUGUAUUAGUGUUGGGUUAAAUAGUAAUUUAACUUCUCGAAUUCGAACCAGUAGCCAACGAAAGAAUAUAUACACGCGAAUGAACACGCUGUCUAAUCUUUCAGUUUGCCACUUUUUGAUUAUGGACAAAAUUUAAUUCUUUAAAUUCAAUAAUUAAUAGUUAGAUUACGCAGCUUGUACAGGAACAAAAUUAUUGGUGACAUUGUUGUUUGUCUUUGGAAUUCGCUUAGUAAAUUCCCCCUUAAUCCUGUUAAAUUACAUCACGAUACGCUUUAGCUUUGCAAUAAAAUCGAUUUGUUCUCCAUGUCUUGGGCCCUUGAGGCCAAUAAAAGAAAUCAUUAUUGCUAUUGUCAAAAUAAGAACACACGUCAUACGUUAGAGGGCUCACCUAUUUCAACCACGUUGAUAUUAAUUCUCAGUUGUAAUACCAUUAUACAUCUGUUCUUGCAAUAUUUUUCAUUUAUUUAUUUAUUUAGCUCUUUUUUUUUAUGAACCAUGUAUGUUUUCCUCAUUAACACUAUUGUAUUUCUACAGAGUCGUUCGUUGCUAGUCGCUAAGCAGUUUUGUAUUAAGGAUUUUCAUUCAAUUUAGUUAAUGCAAGCUGAUAUUACGAUUUCGAAAUCUAUUUACAUAUGUUGCUAGCGUUAAAAUAAUAAUAUUUUUUAAGACUCAAUAUAUCAUUUUUCUUUUUUUCCAGUUGAAUUUUAAGAAUUCUACGCCUAAAAAAUGUUUAUAAUUGCUUUUCUUGUCUCUUUACAAGGAAGCAUCUUCUUAGAGAAUGCGGAGAGACUCUAUACGAUUGUUUAUCCCGUUUGUGUCUAAUACAUGAUAGAAUAAAAUAUAAACAUGCAGUUGUAAGGCAUAAAAUUAUAUAUAACGUAUACAUUUUUUUUAAUGGACAGGUAGUUGCAAGGCACCAAAUCUUAUUAUAUAUAUAUAUAUAUAUAUAUAUAUAUGCGUGUGAGUGUGUAUGGAAUCUCGCUCCUGAGUUUAAAAACACAAUUCAGAAAAAACGACUUGAGAAUAAAAAAGGUAAAAGUUACAGCCAACUCUUAAUUUUUUUUUCUACUCUAGGCACAAGGCCCAAAAUUUUGGGGGAGGGAGCCAGUCGAUUUGAUCGACCACAGUUUGCAACUGGUACUAAAUUUAUCGACCCUGAACGGAUGAAAGGUAAAGCCGACCUCGGCGGAAUUUGGACUCGGAACGUAAAAACAGACGAAAUACUGCUAAGUAUUUUGCCCGGCUAUCUAACGUUUCUGCCAGCUCGCCGCCUUAGUUACAGCCAACUCUGAACGGAAAAGGUGAGUUCUAACGAAAAUUGAAAGAGCAAUAGAAAUUUUUAACUUCCUUGUUAUUAAAGAAACGUAAUCUGCGAUAUUUAAACAUAGAAAUCAGAAAUUUUAGAAAGCUUAAAUUAAUAAUUAAAAAAUAAUAAUAUUAUGAAAGGUGUGUGUGUGUCUUAAGUAUUAUUUUAAACUGCAUCCGUUAGUGGGGUCCUGGUUUGGGAUUUCUAGAGUUUAGAGGAAUGUGGAAGACAUCUCUUAGCCACUAUUGUUCCCAGAUCUACUCUGACCUGCAGUAGUAGCAGGAUCCCAGCUAUGGGUUAAUUUAGUACGUCACGGAAUUACCUCUAGAAGAAGGUCAUCUACAGGCGCCCCAAAGGACCCAUGGCAGAUGAGGUCCUUUCAGCUCUUUAGCUGUUCAUCUAAGAGACAGUAACUCCAUACAGAUCCUAUAUCCCGUUAACUUGAGCUCAUGGCACUUGUUGCAUCAGACCAUUAGAAAUUUGAAAAUGAGAGAGUGAGACUGGUUCUAUAUAAACCAUGCUCACUACAAUAAGUAUUCAUUAUGCCGGUUGUUCAGCAAACCAAGACACGAGCACCAACACUAUCACACUUUCUUCAUAUAUCCAUUAGCGGUAGGGAAAAGGCAACGGGGACAGGUAGAGGAUGCUACAGGAAAUCUUCAGCUUUAACCUUGCAUAACCAUUGGAUGAUGGUCGUUUCCACAGAACAAUGUGCAGCUGUGUCUUGCUGAACUCUCAUUCGUCAAAGCGACCACACAUUUCACAAUGUAUGUAUGCAUAAUUUCAUAAACAUUUUACAUUUGUUUUCUAUGCUGGCAUGGGUUGGAUGGGUCAUUUCAGUCCAAGACAGAGAUCUUUAAGAGAGUUCUUAUUCCGAGGUUUUGCCCUUUAGAUGUUUUGGAGAACAUGUCGCUCGUACAUUUCAUUUUUGGUUUGAUUUCUACAGUUUAAUACCUUUUCUAACAAUACUUUACAGAGUGUAUUGAGUGCGUGUUAUCGUGACAUAAACUCCAGAGCAGUUGUCAUGUCCUCGACAAGAUUAAAGAUUCUUCUCGACUCUACACUUUACGUGGUGUACUGAGUGUAUUUUAUCACGGCACUAGUUCCACAGAGGUUGCAUCUCCUCCACAAGAGUACAGGAUCCUCUCGACCCUACGACUCCGCUCGUCUAGUAACCACUUUACAGAGUGUUUUGGGUGAAUUUAUAGUGACACCAGCACUAAUGGUGUUAUCCACGCUAAUGGACUUGUCUUGUACCCUGUAAGUUUAGAGAGACCUUGUCACUGUGUGUUCGAGCUGAGGAGCUGAGUAUGAUUUAACAAACACACAGGCAGUAGAACUAGGGUGGGAAAGGGAAGCUAGAGUGUGAUGGUAGAAGCAAAAUGGAGUGAGAGGCUGGAAGAGGCAUGGAAAAAGAAAUUGCAAGAAGUUGGUAAAUUGUAAGAGCAAAUGAUGGCUGUUGAUAUUAAGUGGACCAGAUGAUGAUCGAGACAUGAGAUACAAAGAAAUAAGGCAUAGAGGCAUGAACGGUAAAGGUGAGAGCGAUUGGGGUACGAGCAACACUAGAGAGAGAGAGAGAGAGCGAUUAAGACAGGAGUGACAGUGGCAAGAAUAAUGGCGACAUUGUAUACUUCUUUGGAAAACGUUGUCAUCACUAUUGUCUCAUGUUUUCUUUUGCUUUUCAAUUCCAUAGCUUUACUUCUUUUCUUUUCAUUCUUUUAGACAAGGAUUUUCAUUUGAAUGGUAUUUGGCUGUUGUUUCUGGCAGGCGAUAAAUCACAUAGAAGUUCUCACGGACAUUGUUCAUUGAGCUGAUUUACUGCACCUCUAUCAAUACAGUGGCCAAUAUAGAAAUUCUGUCAGAUGGCAGGUUAGCGUGGUAAAUCUUCUUUGAACUGGCUUGUGAAAAUCAUGGGAGGAAAUAUUUCCUUUUAUUAAAAAUGAAAUUAGUUUGUCUUUUU